rnacentral:ncRNA from 13 species
GGAGGGUUGGCCGAGCGGUCUAAGGCGGCAGACUUAAGAUCUGUUGGACGGUUGUCCGCGCGAGUUCGAACCUCGCAUCCUUCA